ACGCCUACACAGUGGCUGCCAAGGCUUACCCAUGAGUUAAACCUCCUUUAGUUGGUAAUGAGGAAGGCGUGGGCUCUAGCAGUGGACACCGGAAGGCAGCAGUGGGUGAAAACAAGCAAAAUAAAGAAAAGUUUGGCUGUGAGAAGGUGCUAGACAGCCAGCCAUAGUGACGAAGAGGCAGGAGGCACCACCACCACCACAGGGAAGUGAGAGAUGGGGAGGGGGAUUUUAAAGAACAUGUUUGCAGUGCGCUGUCAGCCUCACCUGCGCCGCCUCCCCCAGUGAGCGGGUGUAGGCCUGGGAAUAGAACAUAUGCAGAUGUCUUGGAAGUGCUGUGUAUGUCUGUUUGUCGAUGGUCAAGAAGGAACGUAGCAUAAGUUUAAGAUGAUGCUCAGGCAGUGUCAUCAUGGAAGAGGUGGGUUCGUCAAGUGGCCGGGUCGUCGCGCCGCCCUGGGACAGCCUCCUCCCUGACGUCCUCUCCGCCCUGGUGUACCUGCAGGAGCCUGACGGAGGUGUGCAGGCGCUGGUAUGUGUCGAGGGCGGCGCGGUGAGGCUGCCCAGGAGGAAAAUAGGACAUGACUAUAACGCCGGCACAUCAGCUCAGUCGAGGGACACUCCACUCCCCCAGCUGGCCCAGAGUAUUGCAGCGGCGGCGGCAGGCAUCCCCCCACCCCCCCGCUGGACCCCUCAACUCCUCCACCUGAGCAAAGUGUUUGAUCCCAUCAUGAAGCGACACUACCACCAUUAUGUGUUUGCCUUCCCCCUCGACGCUGCCACGUGGAGCAAGGUGGAGGAGAGGUCAGUGAGGCAGAAGGUGAGCCUGGAGAAGCUGAAGACAAGCCCUGUGGAGAGAAGGGAAGUGGUGUGGCUGGUGGAGCGCAUUGCCAGGCGGGUGGUGGGUGCCCAUGUGAGGGAGGUGAGUGUGGGUCAGCUGUGGCAGGAGAUGGACCAGGCACAAUGUGAGGAGGAGCUGCUGAGGUCCCCUGGCUUCAAGGAACAAGACAUGGAACUCAUUUCUGGGGCGUUUGUGAGGUGCAGUUACCCAUAUGCCACUGUCUGCUUGGAGGACGUGAAGCAGCUCCUGGGAGACCUCGGCUGGCAGGACAGGGAGCAGGGCGUCUUUAGGGCACUGGACAAGCAGAGAACCGGCGAACUCUCUCACGUGGAUUUUGUGCACGGCCUGGUGGCAAUGGACCCGAUGACACCCCACGGCAAGCGUCCCGGGGAGAUCAGGUCUUGGUACAUCUUCAGAUACUACGACCGGGACAGCAACGGUGUGCUGGAGGAGGAGGACAUCCACAACCUAGUGACAGACAUGGCAAAGCUGCAGGGACAGGACAUCUCUGUAUCGGCCAUUGCUGAGAGGACCAAGACAGCACUGGAGAUAUUUGCUGCCUCAGAGGACAACAGUGUAGUUCCCGAGGGCUUCCUGAGUGCUAUUGGUACUCUACAGUUCCGAGGGACGUCGCUGCUCUUCAGGGCCUCCACCGCCAUCAUUCCCUACCUGGUGUGCAAGUUUGGGGUGGUCAGUCCCCGUCGCAAGAGUCCUCUGAGAGACUCACCCAAGGGCCAGUCUUCCCCAAGGACAAUGAAGAGGAUCAAACGUGACCUUGGCACUUCACUCACCACCCGCCACACUGACUCUAUCAAGAACUGCACGGAGGAGGAGAAGAACAGCCAGAUGGAGGUGGACCAGUCAAACAACAAUUCCCAAGUCUCUAUUCCUCUGAGUGACGGGGCAUUCCAGAGUCCAGGUAGCCGUCGGUACACUCUCGCCCAGCACACUGUGAAGGUGCGACGCUCUGGCCAGAUCAUUGACACUCAGCUGCUGCUCGACAUGGAACGUGCAGGAGAGGUAUCAGACACAGGUUUUGACGUGGAGAAGACAAGUGAGGCAUCCCAGCUGGCCACAGAUAAGGCUGCACUAGUAUCCAUUGACAAGCCAGCCAGGCAUUUCGACAGGUACCUCUCAGUGGACGCAUUCAACACCAAGUCCCUCCCGAAUGAGAUGGUGGCUGCCCUGCGUUUCUUCGAGCACAACAGGAAGGACAAGCCAGCGCUGCACUGGGGAGAGGUGGACUUGGUGAAGCUUGGCCAGUACAUCAUCUCCCUUUGUGCUGCCAUUCGCUGCAUCUUUGAGGGGGAGCCACGCAUGCUGGUGCUGUCCUCCCCCUGCUACGUACUGGGAGACCUUCAUGGGAACUACCGGGACCUGAUCUGCUUUGAGAAGGCGCUGUGGAGGAUUGGGCCGCACCUCACACCCUCCAAUUUCCUGUUCCUUGGCGACUAUGUUGACCGUGGGGAGUAUGGCGUAGAGGUGGUGGCGUACCUCUUUGCCCAGAAGCUCCAGGCCCCUACUAAGUUCUUCAUGCUGCGGGGAAACCAUGAGGUGCGCGACAUACAGAAACAGUUCACCUUCUACAAGUGUUCUGCAUACAUGGUGGCAUUCCCAACAUUCCUGGCAACCUGAGUGAGAUGGAGAAGAUUCCUUGUCCACUGAGGAACCCUGAGGUGGAGAGUGAUGUGGCAUGGCAGGUUAUGUGGAACGAUCCUAUUGCGCCAGACGAAAUGACCGAGAGUGUCAUUGAGGAGCUGUCACAAAAUAAUGGGUUUGCCCACAACACCAAGAGGAACACAGCCUGCGUCUUUAACAGGAAGGCAUUCACCAACUUUCUGCAGAAGAAUGGCAUCACACACGUGGUCAGAGCUCAUGAGGUCAAGCAGUCUGGCUUUGAGGUCCAGCAGGGCGGUCAGCUCCUGACAGUGUUCUCCUCAUCCCACUACUGUGGUGGCAGCAACGAGGCAGCCUGCAUCCUGCUGGACAACCGCCGCAUCAGAGCCAUCAGGAUUGAUACGUCAUAGAGGGAAGGAAGACACAAAGGACUCAUUUCUUUUACUGGAUGCAAUUUAACAUGACAGUUGUUGACUCACAAACUGGUGUCUGAUCUCAAUCAUUAUAAUUUUUGUGACAGUUUUUUUGAAGGAGUAGUCUCAUCACUGCCUAAGCAAGCAUUGUCAUACCAAAGAUUAAUUUAUAGCACUACUUUGCUAUUGCAGGUUAACAGUUAAAAUUAAAAGAUGAUUUCUUGGUUACAAACUAAAACAAAUUAAAAUCAUAUUGUCACUUACCAUCACACAUUUUCUUUAAAAGCACAACCUAAAAAAUUAAGACCAAUAUAUGCACAUACAGAGUAACUAAGAACAAAGGUACCAAGAACAAAAGCUGUUGAUGCAUCAUUGAAAAGAAAUCUUCUGUAUUUUAGCAAAGUUCAUACAAAAUGCCUGGAACUCAACAUUCUUAUAUAAACAGGCCACGUCAUACGCAGUCUGGCCCUGACUGUUACGCAGAUUCAAAGGGAAGCCGUGCUGCAGCAAACUGUAGGCAAAGCUGAUGUCACCCUGCCAAGAGUACAAAUAUUAAUGUGCGUUCUCUCAGUCUGUCACCACACGCACAACCCUCCACCCAGCCCUGCCCUGUAAGCCUUGAAUACACUAUUGUUUGCAAAUCCCACACCCUUCAAGGUGCUAUGGUGAUGUAGGGAGAGAGAGAGAGAGAGAGAGACUUAGGUGUGUGAGUGGUUCAUAAAUAUACUGUGGGGGACAUCCUUUGGGUCUGUGGGUAUGUGGAGAGAGAGAGAGAGAGAGACAGAGGCAGUGAUAAAUGACUGGUUUAGUUUGUGAAUUCCUGCACUAUCCCUGCAUUACAUGCAAAGUUUCCCAGAGAGAUGACAUGUAAACUUGGAAGAUCCUCUAGAGGGACUUGAGACACAGACCAUUGAAAUUAAACAAACAAGAGGCUCAAGACAGGGCUGGGUAGAGUGGUAACUGACAGACACCCUUUCAGAAACAUUAAGGAAACUUGUGCCAGUAUUAUUAACCUUACUUGGAAUAACACUACUGAUGUUCAUAUACACACAUUUCCUAUUAAACUUGUAAACUUAA